rnacentral:rRNA from 1 species
UACGUAGGGGGCAAGCGUUGUCCGGAUUUAUUGGGCGUAAAGAGCGUGUAGGCGGCUAGGUAGGUCCGUUGUGAAAACUCGAGGCUCAACCUCGAGACGUCGAUGGAAACCAUCUAGCUAGAGUCCGGAAGAGGAGAGUGGAAUUCCUGGUGUAGCGGUGAAAUGCGCAGAUAUCAGGAAGAACACCCGUGGCGAAGGCGGCUCUCUGGUACGUGACUGACGCUGAGACGCGAAAGCUAGGGGAGCAAACAGG